AGUGGGAGGGAGGCUGCUUCUGGGUCACCUCCCCUGGGCUGGUGCCCUCUGCCAAGGGGCUCUGGCAGAACCACUCCAAGGGGCAUUUAGAAGGAUGGACGCUCUCCCCCAGACCCCCAACUACUGAGCCAGCAGGAAGCAGAGAGGUUCAGCUGUAGCCCGCAGACCUUGGAGUCUUGGCUGAGGGCUGCUCUGAGGGGGCACAGAACAGGGCAGCCCCUGGGCCCCAGGCAGCAGCGCCUAGAGGCCUGGGCGGCAGGAAAGGGAAAGGUGACGUCAUUGCCGCCUGGAAUCUGCUGUUUGGAGGCGUCGCCAUGGAGACCGGAAGGCUCAGGGAUCCUGAACCAGGACGUGUGCUUGCUCCAAGAGAGGCUGGCUCUGGUGGGACUGGAUCCCAAGACCUAUGGAUGCCUCCCUCUCCUUCCUUCUCUUAUGGUAUCUCAACCCCACCUGGGGCUCCUCCUUUGCCUCUCUGGAGCAUGUGAAACGUCACCUUCCUCCUAUAGCAGGCCUAAACACUAGGAUGUCAAGGACCAGAGGUUGCCCAAGGAUACUGCUGAAAGUGGGAGGAUGCAGGAGCUGGGCUCGUGCUGACUGAGGUGGUCAGCAGCUGUAAGACUAUCCCUGCCGCAGCACAUUGAGCUCACCCUCUAACUCCCACAUAUCACAAGUACAGUAUAACCCACAGGUGUGACCCUAUGACAAGCCUUCUGUUCUCGCUUCCUGUGUGUUAAAGGCAGGUCAGGACUUCCUGUGGAUGCUGGGACCCAUAGAAUGAUUAUCCAAGGGGAUGCAGGCACAUACCUAAGACCACCCUGAACAAGUGACCCUGUUCGGGCCAUGUGCCUGACCCUCCAGAAAUUCCCAUUGUGGGGGAAGUUCCUCCCACCUAGAAUGGUCUAGAAAGAAACAACAGAGAAGAUCAACAAAACCAAAAGCAUCUUUUUUAGGAAAGUAAGAAAUUCAGGUUUACACAAAGAAAAAAAUUUAAAAUACCUAUGGCUCCUGCAAAACACACUUUCUUGGUUUUUUUGUAUGUAAGAUAAAAGCUGUAGCAUUUCGAAGUAGCAGACUGGUGUUAUUCGCAGUGUUAGAAUGCUGUUUAACAUUCAACACCUUGAGUUUGAUUCCUAGCACCACACAGACACAUAAAAUCAAAGUACAGUGUCAGUUUUGUCCAGAAACAUUAAUAAUGAUUGAUUCAGUUUAAAACAUUUUAUGGAGGCUAGAGAGUUAGCUAAACGGUUAAGAGCAUUUGUUGCUGUUGCAGAGGAGCUGGGUUCUAGUGUGAGCACCCAUAAGGCAGCUCACAAUUGUCUGUUAACUCCAGUCCCAGGGGAUCUGACUCCUAAUUCUGAAUUUAGCAGGCACCAGGCAUGCACAUGAUGCACACACAUACAUGCAGGCAAAACACUCUAAACACAAAAUAAUACAAUAAAUACAUCUACAUUUUUUUUUUUUUAUUUUUCGAGACAGGGUUUCUCUGUGUAGUUUUGGUGCCUGUCCUGGAUCUUGCUCUGUAGACCAGGCUGGCCUCAAACUCACAGAGAUCCGCCUGCCUCUGCCUCCCAAGUGCUGGGUUUAAAGGUGUGCACCACCACCACCACCACCACCACCACCACCACCACCACCACCACCCAGCUUCCUUGCACAUUUUUUGCAGAAUGUUUAAACAGCACAUUUUUUUUCUGGCAUAUUUAUUUUUUGUAUUUGUGCUUGGACUGAGAAGGGGACCUUGUACUGUCUUGGUUGAGCUGUAGCACAAGCUCUGGUGUCCUGUCUGUUUCCACAGGGCUCACUAGAGGACUUUGUCUAGCCUCUCUAUCCUGUUUUAUAGUUCAUACUCAGCAGACGUGGAGAGCUCAGCCUGCCUCAUCCAACACUCUUAAUAAUGAAGUUUGUACUCUGUACUCAGACUUACGUAGAUGCUGCAAGAGUAGCAGGUGUUCAUCACUCCUGACAGUCAGCGGCCAGCAUGGCGUUUCACCACACCCAAGGACAGUUUUUGUAAUACCCUAACAGGGCUAUCCAAAGCAGGCCAUGUCGGUCUGAGACCUAAUCCAGGCUCCUUGGUUGUCCUAGUAAUGUCUCUUGUUGGGACAAGAUAGAUCAGCCUGGUCAGGAGCACGUGCUAGACUGAUCUCUCUCUCUCUCUCUCUCUCUCUCUCUCUCUCUCUCUC